rnacentral:lncRNA from 1 species
UGAUCUUGUUUGGAGUUGUAAGUCGUAUAAAGGCAUCAGUUUCAAUUUCAAUCUGUUAACCAGAUAACAGCUUUGUUGGUUUUUAAUUAGAAUGAAACUAUUGGACAUAAAAAAACAAUUUAUGACUUUAGCAUAACCAAAUGGGCACCAUGACUCAUGUCCCUAUUCAAUUGUAAAAAAAAAGUUGAGCCCAGUUUUGACAUGUUACAUAAAAAAGCCACACAAGAGUUUUACUUAACAUAUGGUGUUGAUCUUCAAAAAAAUAGAAGUAGGGGUGAAGGCCUGAGACAAAAACAGAAACAGCCUAGGCUUUCUGUUUUUGUCUCUUUUCCAUUUAACACAGACAAUUAAACAUCUUUAUCUUCAUGUAGGAAGUUUUGAGCAAAAAGCCUCUCUAUAUCCCACCAAGUACAUCAGCUUUGUCCUAAGAUAACUAAAUGCAAGCAUCAUAUGCAUAUGGGUGUCUUUUGAAAAAUACAGCCAUUUGUAGAUUAGGAAAGUAAGAGAGGACUGGGACACUGAUUUAAAUUGUGUUGGUCUCUGUCUUCUUAUAAGAUGGUUUGAAACACAGACUGUAUAGAAAGAUAAAUAACAUGGCAGCCCCCCCAAAAGUGAAGCCAAAACAUUUGGCGAUCCUUCAAGUCACCGGUUGCAGCACAGGUAAUAACUCCGCUCCCUCCAUGUAAACAGAUGGGACAUGGGUCAGACUUUAAAACCAAAAUACACAUCAGACCCAUUUCCUCAAACUUGGUUACAGUUUUUAAAUUUAGCUCAUAUCAUGUUGAUUAUUUUCCAAAUUUGUGUGUGUUUUGUGUUGUAUAGAACUUUUUUGAUGCUAAAAAGUGGAUGCGAUGUCUCGACUGAGGAUCAGCUUCAACACAGUCGAAAGUUCACCACUGCUUUACAGAACUGGUGCUAUCAGGUUUUAACUUCCUUGAUAAAUGAGGGGUAUUCUGUUCAAGUCACAAGACUGCACUGUUAGCUCCACAGUCUUGAGACUUAUCUUUCUGGCCCCUCGACUGCAUACUGAGAGUCAACAAUACAGCUCUGCACACAGUCCUGAAGAGCACUAAUGAGCUUGUUAACUUCAAUCACAGCUCCUACAUUGACAUUUGGGAAAGAAUUUAUUCCAUCCAAGAGGAAUUAAUCUCAUUAGAGCUCCAGAGUCAUAUAGACUGGGCCUGCUUGGCAUAAUUGAUGCUGCUAUUGUACAGGUCUAAUCAACCCAGUGAGGGUUUUCGGAGCAGCUAAAAUGUAGACAACAGGCUUUGAAAUGGUUAAUGCCUAACAUCUUUGAGCUUUUGCACUGUUCAAACCUGUACAUGAGUAUAUGGAGAUGAUACAAGAUCAUAUACAUCUCUGGGUUACUCAAGGAUAUUGAGUUAAUUUUGGUCAUGUAAAUUGGUCAUGUAAAUUCAUCCAUCCAUCUUCAGCCGCUUAUCCGGGGUUGGGUCGCUGAGGCAGCAGUCUGAAGACUUCCCUCUCCCCUGCCACUUUGUCCAGCUCUUCCCGAGGGAAGAAGCCACAGCACCAUCCACCAAACAUCUUUUUAACUUUGCCUAAUUUCUUUCUCAAAGAGACUAAACACAACUCACCUACUCUCUUCCAGCAGCCGCUUGUUUGUAACGAGACCUCGGGCCAAUCCAUUACAGACUACAGUGGGGUGACACAGCUCAAGGAAGAACAUUUAUGAUCAUUUCUUCAUGGAAAUGUAAUCAGACCGAGACGCUAAGGCAGAAGAACUACUGCGUCUGCGGUGCAUUAUAAUAUGGUGAUUAUUACUGAGAGGAAAUGACAACGUAAUAAUCAUAAAUAUUCUUCCUUGAGCUGUGUCUUGCUAAAAACAAGCGACUGCUGGAAGAGAGUAGGUGAGUUGUGUUUAGUCUCUUUGCUAAAGAAAUUAGGCAAAGUUAGAAAGAUGUUUGGUGGCUAGUGCUGUGGCUAGGACCCUAUAUGUACUGUUGAUGAAGUUAGGUGCUGUUCUGAGCAUUAUUUGUGGCUAUAGAGUGGCGUUUUUGGUUGAGGUUUGUGUGUGAUUCCAUAGACCACUGUAUACUGCUAUCCUGUGGUUGUUACUAAAGUUAUUAUAACUAAAGAAGCAAGCGGUCGGCACCAUUCAUCUGAGGGGGUGUCUAACUCGGUGUUGGGGUGUGUUUGACCCUAAAUUAAUUUUACGCUGGAAUAUCCCUCUAACAAAAUCACUGUUAAAGGAAUCAUAGAUGUUUACAGUAUUAUUACAUGGGUCAUAUGUAGCUGUAGUGCAGGAGCCACCUCCAUUAACCCAGGCUAUAGCUCUGUUUUAUGGUGACUGCCAUAAUGCUUAAAAGCUCUAUAACCCUAGAUGUACACAAGCACAGAUGACAGAUAGAUGGCAUCUUAGUUCUACAUGGUUUGGCAGUAUUUUGAUCAAGAAAAUGAUGACAAAAUAUAUGUAGGUUAUUUAAAUGGUAGUUGAUCUUUUUUUGAGUAUUUUCUUGUUUUUUUUGACUGGACAAAUAGACAAAACUGACUUGGGAUUUGAUGCAUUUCUCAAAAUGUCACAUUAUUUCUCAAAUGGGCUGUACCGAUUAUGAAAGAUCUUCAAAAUUAGUUCAAAACAAUCUCUGUAUUUAGAACAGUCCGGUUAGCAACAGCAGUAUUGUAAUUGUAUCCUUAUACACAGCACUGAAGCAGGCAGGUUUAUGUCUGCAGGAUGUCCAUUGAUCAGUGUGACAGCAGAUCCCUCUGUAGGACCCUGCUCUUUGACCCCUGACUGAUCCUGACGCUGGAAGAUUCACACUGUGAAGGGCUCUAUGGGGAUAUUUUACAACUUAGACCAAAGUCUGAGAGGAGUGUUUUCUGAAUGACCCGUACCUGAUCUUCAUCCCAUAUGGAGAGGGACAACCCACUGAGCAACUUCACACAUUCCCCUCAGAGGGAUGUAGCUGUUCUGUGCUUAGUGAGUCACUGAGCUUUUAUGAAUGGAUCUCUUUUGUGAAUGGAAACCAGUCGUUAGGUAAAUCUGUUUAACUAAUACGACGUACUACACCUCUAUUUACCUUCAAGUGAGGUUUAAAGUAUUUCUUCAUCUACUGAACAACAAACUUUGGUCUAUAUAAGCACAACCUGUUCAUCUUACACAUAUCAUUUUUCGCUUUAUCAUACAAUCACUUUACUCACUUUUUCUUUGUGGAUCAUUGGACAGUUUAAGUUAUGAAAUAUCAUCUCACACACCUUCAUCUCAGGAAUUUGGGGGUUAAGAAAAAAAAAGGAAAGACCUGUCCCUCUUAAUUUUAGCGACAGUGGCAGCGGGUAAGCAAGUGACCCACAGUGACCCCUGGAAUACCAGACACGGGCUCAAGUGUAAAUAAAGGUUUGGUAUUCAUUCACAGUUGUGACACCCCAACAAGGACACAGUUUGUGUGGAUGUAGAGCUCAGAAGAGUGUCUUUCUUUAAGUUGUACUUCUGAAAAAGCAAACAAAAUUAACAAGAGUCAAAUACAAAAAGAAAAAAAUAACAAGACUUGAUUAUUUUUUUUCAUACUAGUCUUUUUUGAUGCAAAGAAAAGCAUGAUAAGAUACACUUUUUGCAAAAUGGGAGCCCAAGUUGGACCACCUCAGUGAAAAAAAGUUAGUACACACUCCUGAAAAAAGGGCGCACUGUAAUCUGUGUGAAUAUGAGCGCUCCGGGCUUGGAAGUAAAAACAACCUCCAUUUUCUGAUACAGUCAUCCAUGUAUGUUUUUUAACUGAACUUUCUCUCCUUCAUCAUUUCAUGCCGUUAAAAAGUUUUUCCAUCAACUCAUGUCUGGCAUUCUUGUUUCACCACUCAGAACAGUUUAAUGUAUAGCCAAUUUCCAUAAGUAGACACAUUCUCAUUUAUAGCAGUAAAUCCUGUUGUAAAAGUGCCAACAAUGAAAGUUAGGUAGUCUAACAGACCCACCAACAUGUCUCUAUUGCUUUCCUGUUGUUUUCAGAUAAAGGCAGCAACAAUAAAACCCCAUGUGCUAAAUUCUCCUCCAUGGUAACAGAGGAAAAGUACCCUAAAUGCUCCAGAGAGAAUCAUCAAGACCAAGCACUUUAUUAUUCUUCAGUACAUGCACAGAAGAGAGCAUGUUAGCACUUAAUUACAGUAGCAUCAGGACACUGCAAGUGUGUGUAUGUGUGUGUGUGUGUGUUUUCGUCUAAUGGUGAACGGAGGCAGAUGGAACAAGCCUGAGGCAGUGCACAUUAAACCUGCAGAGUCCUGUGGAGAAAAGGAGGAAAAGACCCUGAGUUUAUUCUAAACUCUUCAGGGAGACACUUCAGUGUGCACACACACACCUCUAAACUGGCCUCACAUUAAGGGGAGCUAUCAUUUAGUUAAACAACCUUGGCUUCUCUUUCCCCAGAUAUCAAACAAAACCACCUCCAAAGUGCUCCUGCUCAAGACCUGCGACAGUGUCAGAGAGUAUCAUCACUGAACCAUGCAGCAUGUGACCAGAAAGUAAACAUGACUGUGCUUAUCUUUCACCAUUUUGUGUAAUUAGAUAUUCUGUAAAUCUCUGCUUGACAGUCCUGGUCAAACUAUGGUGGUGGCACAAUAUUGAGUUAUAGUGCUCCAACCAAAAUACGCCCCUGACUUUGCUUUAUUCCGCCAGAGGUUACGUAUGCUGUAUCAGAUUACACAUCCAGUGUAUACAGACCUAAAUCUAACAUUUAUUCUAAUCCAUUCCAUACAUGAUGACUGUGUUUUAAGGCGAGCAAGAUGUGCCAAACUUGCUUGGUGACAACAUACUGGGAUCCAGUCGUUUGUCACUGUCACUCAGCCAAAGAAGCACAAGUAUGCCAUGCUGCUAUGUCGCACGUGAAAAAAAAAGGUAUUGUUAAGCUGACCUACAUUCAAGGGAAAGUUCAGAGUUUUGAUGAAUGUAAAAUGUCUAGUUAAAAUGUUUUGAAUGAGCGUUUCUUUGAGUUUAGGCCUUGGCAACACAAUACUAAUUUUAUGUAGCACUCAGGAGUUAACAACAGGUUGUCGUAAUGAAGCCUGAUAUUACUCACAACUUUCAAAUUGCUUAAAUUCAGUCUCAUAUUCAGAACUUGCAUGUAUGCAUGUUUUGGAAACUCCCAUUUCAACCUAAAUGAAUGACAUGUUUGUUUAGCCUGCAAAGUAUUCAUGCUUCAUAAUAACAGCAUAGACGUUAAGUAUCAGCCGACCAAAUUGAACCCUCUUUUCUUCAUCUUCUUAAAGGAAUUUCUUUAUUCUUUUUCAAUCGCAUGGGUGGGACAAGAAAAUGACACCACUCCUGUAUGGAUUUGUUAGAUAAAAGGUGAUAAUCAGGACCAACACAGUUGAAAACAACAACAACAACAACAACAAAAGCACAAGAGCUGACCAUGAGUGGCCCCAAAAGACAAG